rnacentral:rRNA from 1 species
UUUGUUGGAGAGUUUGAUCCUGGCUCAGGACGAACGCUGGCGGCGUGCUUAACACAUGCAAGUCGAGCGGUAAGGCUCCUUCGGGGGUACACGAGCGGCGAACGGGUGAGUAACACGUGGGUGACCUGCCCUCAGCUCUGGGAUAAGCCUGGGAAACCGGGUCUAAUACCGGAUAGGACCUUGCCUCGCAUGGGGUGGGGUGGAA